rnacentral:rRNA from 1 species
AGUCUGAUCCAGCCAUGCCGCGUGAAGGAUGAAUGCCCUCUGGGUUGUAAACUUCUUUUACAGGGGAAGAAAGUUAUCUUUUUUAGGAUAUUUGACGGUACCCUAUGAAUAAGCACCGGCUAACUCCGUGCCAGCAGCCGCGGUAAUACGGAGGGUGCAAGCGUUAUCCGGAUUCACUGGGUUUAAAGGGUGCGUAGGCGGGUAUGUAAGUCAGUGGUGAAAUMCCGGAGCUUAACUUCGGAACUGCCAUUGAUACUAUAUAUCUUGAAUAUUGUGGAGGUAAGCGGAAUAUGUCAUGUAGCGGUGAAAUGCUUAGAGAUGACAUAGAACACCGAUUGCGAAGGCAGCUUGCUACGCAAAUAUUGACGCUGAGGCACGAAAGCGUGGGGAUCAAACAGGAUUAGAUACCCUGGUAGUCCACGCCCUAAACGAUGAUUACUCGACAUUAGCGAUACACAGUUAGUGUCUGAGCGAAAGCAUUAAGUAAUCCACCUG